GAUGAAGAACGUAGCGAAAUGCGAUAAGUAAUGCGAAUUGCAGAAUUCCGUGAGUCAUCGAAUCUUUGAACGCACAUUGCGCCCUCUGGUAUUCCGGAGGGCAUGCCUGUCUGAGCGUCAUUGUCAACCCUCAAGCUCAGCUUGCUGUUGGGUCCCCGUCGUUGCUUUAACGGCGGACCCGAAAGGUAAUGGCAGAGUCCGUGAGACCCUAGACGCAGCGAGCUUCUAGCACGCGUCUGGACGUUUUUCGGGCUCGGUCUUAACUAGAUGAUAACUUCCGAUUGACCUCAGAUCAGGUAGGGAUACCCGUUGAACUUAAGCAUAUCAAUAAGCGGAGGA
rnacentral:misc_RNA from 1 species